rnacentral:rRNA from 1 species
AUUGAACGCUGGCGGCAUGCCUUACACAUGCAAGUCGAACGGUAGCACGGGGGCAACCCUGGUGGCGAGUGGCGAACGGGUGAGUAAUGCAUCGGAACGUGCCCAGUAGUGGGGGCUAGCUCGGCUAAAGCCGGAUUAAUACCGCAUACGACCUACGGGUGAAAGCGGGGGACCGCAAGGCCUCGCGCUCUUGGAGCGGCCGAUGUCAGAUUAGGUUGUGGGUGGGGUAAAAGCCUACCAAGCCGACGAUCUGUCGCUGGUCUGAGAGGACGACCAGCCACACUGGGACUGAGACACGGCCCAGACUCCUACGGGAGGCAGCAGUGGGGAAUUUUGGACAAUGGGCGAAAGCCUGAUCCAGCCAUGCCGCGUGCGGGAAGAAGGCCUUCGGGCUGUAAACCGCUUUUGUCAGGGAAGAGAUCUUUCGAAUCAAUACCUCGAGAGGAUGACGGUACCUGAAGAAUAAGCACCGGCUAACUACGUGCCAGCCGCCGCAGUAACAC